AACGACUCUCGGCAACGGAUAUCUCGGCUCUCGCAUCGAUGAAGAACGUAGCGAAAUGCGAUACUUGGGGUGAAUUGCAGAAUCCCGUGAACCAUCGAGUCUUUGAACGCAAGUUGCGCCCGAAGCCAUUAGGCCGAGGGCACGUCUGCAUGGGCGUCACGC
rnacentral:rRNA from 1 species